UACGAAGGGGGCUAGCGUUGUUCGGAAUCACUGGGCGUAAAGCGCACGUAGGCGGAUCUUUAAGUCAGGGGUGAAAUCCCGAGGCUCAACCUCGGAACUGCCUUUGAUACUGGGGAUCUCGAGUCCGGGAGAGGUGAGUGGAACUGCGAGUGUAGAGGUGAAAUUCGUAGAUAUUCGCAAGAACACCAGUGGCGAAGGCGGCUCUCUGGACCUCUGCUGACGCUGAGGCGCGAAAGCGUGGGGAGCGAGUCCGG
rnacentral:rRNA from 1 species